GCGCACUCCCGGAAGCGCCUGCGCGCCCGCGCCCCCGGCCCGGAGAGGCGCUGCUGCCCGCAGAGGCGUUGCCGCCGCAGCCGCCAAAGCCACCACCGCCACCUCCGCCCCGGAGAUGCCGUGUCACCAUGUCCGCAGCAGAUGGCGCCUUUGUUCCACCUGACUUUUCGUCUCUCCUAGGAUGCUGAUCCUCCUGGCUUCCAGACCGACCUGGGACUUGGCAGUCCUGCUCAGCGAUGACCUUUCUGCAAAGACCCUCACUUACCCCGCUCCUUCCUAGCUUCCCUGAAAUAAAGUCAAGCUGCUUUUGUUGGA